AGAAUCAACGCUGGCGGCGUGCCUAACACAUGCAAGUCGAACGAGAAAGUGGAGCAAUCCAUGAGUAAAGUGGCGCACGGGUGAGUAACACGUGACUAACCUACCUUUUAGUGGGGGAUAACCUAGGGAAAACCUGGGCUAAUACCGCAUAAUACCUACGGGUCAAAGCAGCAAUGCGCUGGAAGAGGGGGUCGCGGCCGAUUAGCUAGUUGGCGGGGUAAUGGCCCACCAAGGCAGUGAUCGGUA
rnacentral:rRNA from 1 species